rnacentral:misc_RNA from 1 species
CUGGGUCGAGGGGCCGACAGCAGUGGCUAGAGACACGCAUCACAAACUCAUCAUUGUAAGGCGAGGAUGCCGCAAGACACGUACUUUCGCCGUGCCAUCAAUUGGAUGUACGGGGACGAUGCCUACCUUCAAAACAUGCCAACGAAGGACCUGGCCAACAAGCACAUUAACGAACUUCUCGGCCGGCACCCCUACCACCCGUACGAUCCCGAUAUGAAGGCCGACAACCCCUGCUACCAAUUCAACGCACUCUUUCACGAAUGCAUGGAGGCGGAUCACGUGGAGGGGUACGAACUUUAUCAGAAGCAUGUUGCCUGCUACUUCCCGUACAAGGUAGAUUUGAUGAAGUGUAUCGCCAAGGAGAAGCGGCGCCAUCGCAUGGAGGUGGAAGCUCUAGAAGAGAAAGGUCCGAAAAGCUGAUCCCUGGUCCUAAUACGCGUUCUGUUACUCAUGCCAACAUCCUUCCUAUUCACAAGCUUGUUGAGUAGAAUAAAAAAAAUACCGGUCAACCCCACUGAGGGUUAGCAGUGUCACUGCGCCGUUUCGUUUGAUGAAAACGAAAAGCACAAAAAAAGUCGGCUUCACCGUGGCUGACAAUGAAUCCUCGCAGAUCUCUGCUGCUCGAGUUGGG